GUGGCCCGAGCAAAGUAGACCCAGCGAAAACAGCAAGAUGGUGUCUCCAUCACAGCUUCUUGGGCUUCUGCUUCUCUGGGUUCCGGCCUCCAGUGGUGAGGUUGUGCUGACCCAGUCCCCAGCCUUCCUGUCCAGGACUCUAAAAGAAAAAGCCACCAUCACCUGCCGAGCCAAUCAGGGCAUCAGCACCAACUUGCACUGGUAUCAGCAGAAACCAAAUCAGGCUCCGAAGCUCCUUGUGAAGUAUGCUUCCCAGUCCGUCUCGGGAGCGCCGUCGCGGUUCAGCGGCAGUGGGUCUGGGACAGAUUUCACCCUCACCAUCAGCAGCCUGGAGCCUGAAGACGCUGCCACUUACUACUGCCAGCAAAGUAACAAUUUCCCUCGCACAGUGUUACAGACCAGACCAUAAACCACCAGGGACGCAGAUGUGAGAGGCCGGGCUGCCCCCG